ensembl:snRNA
CAGUGGCAUGGAAGGAGAAAAGGUUAGCAAUUCCUUGCCAACGAGGAAGAGGCCCUUGGGUCUGACGAUGGGCAUAUGCUGAAGGGAUGGCUGCCUACCUUGUGGCCUCUACCAUCCCUUAGCCAUUAUUUAG